UAAAGCUUUAGGUCAGGCAUGGUGA
rnacentral:piRNA from 1 species